rnacentral:rRNA from 1 species
AACGUAGGACGCAAGCGUUAUCCGGAGUUACUGGGCGUAAAGGGCGCGUAGGCGGCGUAACAAGUCACUUGUGAAAUCUCCGGGCUUAACCCGGAGCGGCCAAGUGAUACUGUUGUGCUAGAGUGCGGAAGGGGCUACUGGAAUUCUCGGUGUAGCGGUGAAAUGCGUAGAUAUCGAGAGGAACACCUGCGGCGAAGGCGGGUAGCUGGGCCGACACUGACGCUGAGGCGCGAAAGCCAGGGGAGCGAACGGG